rnacentral:rRNA from 1 species
GACGAACGCUGGCGGCGUGCUUAACACAUGCAAGUUGAACGGAAAGGCCCUGCUUUUGUGGGGUGCUCGAGUGGCGAACGGGUGAGUAACACGUGAGUAACCUGCCCUUGACUUUGGGAUAACUUCAGGAAACUGGGGCUAAUACCGGAUAGGAGCUCCUGCUGCAUGGUGGGGGUUGGAAAGUUUCGGCGGAUGGGGAUGGACUCGCGGCUUAUCAGCUUGUUGGUGGGGUAGUGGCUUACCAAGGCGUUGACGGGUAGCCGGCCUGAGAUGGUGACCGGACACAUUGGGACUGAGAUAAGGCCCAGACUCCUACGGGAGGCAACAGUGGGGAAUAUUGCACAAUGGGCGGAAGCCUGAUGCAGCAACGCCGCGUGCGGGAUGACGGCCUUCGGGUUGUAAACCGCUUUCGCCUGUGACGAAGCGUGAGUGACGGUAAUGGGUAAAGAAGCACCGGCUAACUACGUG